rnacentral:rRNA from 1 species
CGGCGGACGGGUGAGUAACGCGUGGGUAACCUGCCUCAUACAGGGGGAUAACAGUUGGAAACGGCUGCUAAUACCGCAUAAGCGCACAGUACCGCAUGGUACGGUGUGAAAAACUCCGGUGGUAUGAGAUGGACCCGCGUCUGAUUAGGUAGUUGGUGGGGUAACGCCUACCAAGCCGACGAUCAGUAGCCGACCUGAGAGGGUGACCGGCCACAUUGGGACUGAGACACGGCCCAA